rnacentral:rRNA from 1 species
GCCNUGCCGCGUGNAGGAAGANUGCCCUAUGGGUUGUAAACUGCUUUUAUACAGGAAGAAACACUGGUAUGUAUACCAGCUUGACGGUACUGUAAGAAUAAGGACCGGCUAACUCCGUGCCAGCAGCCGCGGUAAUACG